rnacentral:lncRNA from 1 species
GAGUGGCUCUACCUCACAGCACGUGGGCACCCGGUAGCUCCUUUGAGGGUAAACACUGACGCUUUUCUGAAAGGAGGAUGAGGAUGAGGAAAGAGUUGGCCUCAAUCAGAGCGGCCAGGUCCCUGCACCAUCCCUUGUCCCUGAUGCUUUCCUGGAACUCUCCAGGGACGGUGCCCAUCACAGGCUGCCAGGAGCAGCCCCACAACUGGGUCCUUCAAUUCCUGCCAUUGAUCCAGCUGUGUGCACGCCGUUAAAUGCU